rnacentral:rRNA from 1 species
ACGCCAGUUUUGGCGGAGCCAUCCUUGGGAUACCACCCUUGUAGUACUGGGACUCUAACCAUAGGCCAUGAAGCUGGUCUUGGGACACUGUCAGGUGGGCAGUUUGACUGGGGCGGUCGCCUCCCAACAGGUAACGGAGGCGCUCAAAGGUUCUCUCAGUACGGUCGGAAAUCGUACGUAGAGUGUAAAGGCAAAAGAGA